rnacentral:rRNA from 1 species
CCUACGGGUGGCAGCAGUGGGGGAUUUUGCACAAUGGGGGGAACCCUGAUGCAGCGACGCCGCGUGGGUGAAGGAGUGCUUCGGCAUGUAAAGCCCUAUCGGCAGGGAAGAAGCAAGACGGUACCUGACUAAGAAGCCCCGGCUAACUACGGGCCAGCAGCCGCGGUAAUACGUAGGGGGCAAGCGUUAUCCGGAUUUACUUGGUGUAAAGGGGGCGCAGACGGCGAUGCAAGCCAGGAGUGAAAGCCCGGGGCCUAACCCCGGGACUGCUCUUGGAACUGCGUGGCUAGAGUGCAGGAGGGGCAGGCGGAAUUCCAGGUGUAGCGGUGAAAUGCGUAGAUAUCAGGAGGAACACCGGUGGCGAAGGCGGCCUGCUGGACUGCAACUGACGUUGAGGCCCGAAAGCGUGGGGAGCAAACAGGAUUAGAUACCCGAGUAGUC